ensembl:snRNA U6 U6 spliceosomal RNA
GUGUUUGCUUUGGCAGCACAUAUACUAAAAUAGGAACAGUACAGAGAAGAUUAGCAUGGCCCCUGUGCAAGGAUGACAUGUAAAUUCGUGAAACAUUCCAUAUUUUU